ensembl:lncRNA
UCCAGGCUGAACAAUCGCAGUGUCCUCAGCUGCUCCCCAUAAGACUAAUGCUCCAAACCCUUUGCAGCUUCACUGCCCUUCUCUGAACAUGCUCCUGGGCUUUCUGACAACACCAGCCCAGAAGGCAAAAGCCCCGUUAGGACAGAGAUUGAGCUCCCUGACCCUGCUGCUAGGAACCGCCAGCAGGUAGGUACAGGUGGGGAAUGUGCUCUGCUCAGCCAGAGCAGUAUCUGGCAAGGUGAGAAAUGGGAAGUGUCAAUCUCCCAGGUUGUCAGUCAAGCACUGUCAUCAGAAUAAUUUCAGAUAAAAAAAAAAAAUGUCUUGCAAAAGAGAACUGAGCGGGUUCAGAUGUACUCUGGUGAGGCAUCCAGAUUUUCUGCUGAUGAGACAAACCAAAAAAGGAUGUAAGCUCUUCAUGGUCCAGAGGGAAGAGGAGCCCUACAACCUUCACACCCCCCUGCAUCCCACCGCCCUCUGGGGUCUGCCUUGAGGCUGAGGGAUGCUGAGAGGUACACACAAAUGUCCCAGCUCUGGCCAUGAAUUUUGCGGGGCAGAAGGGAAAGAUGAGGAGCCCAUGGUUACUCAUAAGGUGUGCCCAGAGCCUACAGACAUUCUUUUCCCCGUAAUUUCACCUCUCUGACACCUCAGUGCUAGGAGAGAAGCCACGUCAAAAGAGAGGAUUUAUCAGGAAAAUCAAGGAGGGGAAAAAAAAAAAAACACCCAAAGCCCAAGCAAGCUUGUUUCCUUUUCUGUCCUUCUCAGCUUACUCCUUCCUGUGCCAUCCUGUUUAUUUCAUGUUCUCUCUUCCUUCCUGCCUCUCCCAACACACCUUCCGCUCCUUUUCUCCUAAGCAUCCUCAUAAGGUUCCUGCUCUGUUCACAGGUCUGCAAAAGUAUCCAUUUCCCUUAAACUCUACUUUUAAACUGAUGGUGGUAGCAUCUUAAUGGACUGUCGGGGAAAUUGGCAUUACUGAUUUGCCUUCAGGCUCCUCUGUGCCCUCCCAAACAGCCCAGGAGAGGUCAGAGCUCCCCAGCCCCCCACUCACCCAAGGGCACUCCCACUGGAGCUGAGAGAGGAGCUGGCCCUGUCCUACUGCAGUCACAUCCCCCCUGGAGUUAAGCCAGAGCAUCACCAGGAGUUGCCACUCACAGCACCCAGCACAGGGCAGUCUUUGAUCCCCUUCAGCUCCAGAAUUGAGACUGUUUGAACAAAUUAAGUGCAGGAGGGAUGUUCAGGUGCUGCUGCGUCUUACAACUGGGAGCCAUUGGAAGCCCUCACUUUCCACACACCCCAAAGCAUUAAGAUUCUAUUCCUCUUUGCUCCCACCUGAAUGUCACCUCUUAGGACGCAGAACCAAGUCUUGAGGCUGGAAGGUGCCAAUUCUGCUUUGUCUAGAUUUGUCAACUUGUCACCCAGGAAUGUUAAUGAUCUCCAUGCAUGGCCUGCAGCCUUCAGAAGUAAAAUGGCUCAUUUAGAACAUUAGGACUUCCAUCGAUUUACUUUUAGUGCUUCCAGGCAAUAAAGUUCUCUUGGUC